rnacentral:rRNA from 1 species
GAUGAACGCUGGCGGCGUGCCUAAUACAUGCAAGUCGAGCGAACAGAUGAGAAGCUUGCUUCUCUGAUGUUAGCGGCGGACGGGUGAGUAACACGUGGGUAACCUACCUAUAAGACUGGGAUAACUCCGGGAAACCGGGGCUAAUACCGGAUAAUAUUUUGAACCGCAUGGUUCAAUAGUGAAAGACGGUUUCGGCUGUCACUUAUAGAUGGACCCGCGCCGUAUUAGCUAGUUGGUAAGGUAACGGCUUACCAAGGCGUCGAUACGUAGCCGACCUGAGAGGGUGAUCGGCCACACUGGAACUGAGACACGGUCCAGACUCCUACGGGAGGCAGCAGUAGGGAAUCUUCCGCAAUGGGCGAAAGCCUGACGGAGCAACGCCGCGUGAGUGAUGAAGGUCUUCGGAUCGUAAAACUCUGUUGUUUGGGAAGAACAAAUUUGUUAGUAACUGAACAAGUCUUGACGGUACCUAACCAGAAAGCCACGGCUAACUACGUGCCAGCCGCCGCGGUAA